CAAAGGUGAUUUGGAUUCAGCAGAGAAGAAUAAGAACAAUAGUCACCAAUAAACAGAGUUUAUGGCUGGGUUGAAGGACAGCUGCCCACUUCCGCUACCGGCCCACCUGCAACUCAUGUAAAAUAUUGAGCACUCCGGAAUUCCCUUUCUUUAUCAUGAAAACCAGCACAGGAAUCCUCAUUAUGGCCUGUGCUCAGCUCCAAACACUCACGCUCUGGGGAGCUGACAUUAUUAUCCCACUGUGCAGAUGGACAAACUGGGGUUUGCAGGGGUCGAGUGACUGGCUGAAAGCAACGCAGCUGGUGGCAGAAAAACUCGACUCACGCCCAGGCUUUUGUGGGUGUCCUUCCCUCCCCACAGCAGUGGAGUCCCUCAGCCACCCUUGGUGUGGGCAGUUGGCGGCUCCCAUCUCAGGAGGGGUCAGUGGUCACUCUUUCUGAAGGGGACAGCAGGUCACUUCAUUCCUCCUAAGCUUGGGGUAGGGCUGAAAGCAUGGGCUUCCUCCUGACCUAAGAGGGUUCAAACGUUGAGACUUUAUUAUUUUUAAAUCUCUAUAGAAGCAGAAAUGAUUUCUUCAUUAGAGAUAACCCUGUGCUGUGGGUAGAACUGUGCCCCUCCAUAAAGGUGUGUUGAGUCCUUACCCCACAGAUGUGAAGGUGACAGGAUUUGGGAACGGGGUUGUAGCUAGGUCAGGCUGGUCUACGGUGGACCCUGACCCCGAUGACUGAGGUUCUUAUAAGAGGAGAUGACUCAGAGUCACUGUCUCACCCUCCCCAUCCUUGGUAUUAUGACUGCUGCCCACUCCCAAGUCACUGAUUGUCAAAGAGGACAGACGGCCGAGGAGCCCCUGCUCAGAACAUGAGGUGACAGGGAGGCUCAGAGAGGACAGGGAGGCUCAGAGAGGAUGCCAUCUGCUCAUUGCGGCCUCUGCCCACACCUGCUCAGAACACGAGGAGACAGGGAGGCUCAGAGAGGAGGCCGUCUGCUCACUGUGGCCUCCUUUUUGUGGCAGCAGCCCAGGGAUCAGGUGA
rnacentral:lncRNA from 1 species